GACACAGACUCUGCCUUCAGCUGCCGGCGGAUCGCGCUGGAGCCGCCGCGGCGGCUGCGGAAGAACGAAAAAAAAAAAAAAAAGGAAAACAACAGCCCGGCGGCCGGCGGAGCAGCGCCCGGCCCGAGCUCAGCCCCCGGAGUGCGGAGCCGCCCAGGGAUGUCACACCAAGACUUGGGGUGUCCUUGCUGAACCAGAUUGUGGAGGGUCUUAGGUUGCAGAAUUUUAUUUUUGUAAAGUCGCAUCAAAAGUUAAAUUAUUGGGACUCCCCUGGUGAUCCAGUGGUUAAGACUGCGCUUCCAAUGCAGAGGGUACGAGUCCAAUCCCUGAUUACCCGGUAAAGAAUAUAACUCAGGAACAGCCAGAUGGAAGAGAUGGAGAGGACAAGGUUCGCUUCUCCACUCCCCAAACUGCUGAGUGGCAUGAAGUCACAGGGAGGCCUGGCUUCCUCCUCCUUUCCAGUCUCCUGCGAGUGAGCUCAGAUGGCCCCGAGCCCCUUUCGCCCUCCUUUCAGAUGAGGAAUAUCUGCUGGGUUUGAGGGUGCGGCAGGAAGACUGCAUCCACAUUGCUACCCAGUGUCGCAGAAGGAAGGGGGGUGUCCACGGAGGUCCGCUGGACGGAGUGCUUGCUUCAGCUGCCUGGGGGGCCCGAGAUGGUUCUCUGCAGCCCAUGUGUCCUUCAG
ensembl:lncRNA